CCAAUAGCGUAUAUUAAAGUUGUUGCAGUUAAGAAGCUCGUAGUUGAAUUUCGGGAUCAAUAUAUCGGUCGUGCCUUCGGUACGUACUGGUAUCGUUGAUUUCUACCUUCUGACGAACCAUGAUGUCAUUAAUUUGGUGUCAUGGGAAAUCAGGACUGUUACUUUGAAAAAAUUAGAGUGUUUAAAGCAGGCACACGCUUGAAUACAUUAGCAUGGAAUAAUGAAAUAGGACGUUUGACCCUAUUUUGUUGGUUUUUAGGAUCGACGUAAUGAUUAAUAGGGAUAGUUGGGGGCAUUAGUAUUCAAUUGUCAGAGGUGAAAUUCUUGGAUUUAUUGAAGACUAACUACUGCGAAAGCAUUUGCCAAGGAUGUUUUCAUUAAUCAAGAACGAAAGUUAGGUGAUCGAAGACGAUCAGAUACCGUCGUAGUCUUAACCAUAAACUAUGCCGACUAGGGAUCGGAUGAUGUUAAUUUUUUAAUGACUCAUUCGGCGCCUUACG
rnacentral:rRNA from 1 species